rnacentral:misc_RNA from 1 species
AACGCAUCUUGCGCUCCUUGGUAUUCCGAGGAGCAUGCCUGUUUGAGUGUCAUUAUAUUCUCAACUCCCUAAUACUUUGUUGUAAAGGAGAGCUUGGAUUGUGGAGGCUUGCUGGCCACUUGCUUGCGGUCAGCUCCUCUGAAAUGCAUUAGCAGAACCGUCUGCGAUCUGCCACAAGUGUGAUAAAUUAUCUACACUAGCGAGGGGAUUGCUUUCUGUGAUGUUCAGCUUCUAAUCGUCUUAGGACAAUUUCUUGAAUGCUUGACCUCAAAUCAGGUAGGACUACCCGCUGAACUUAA